rnacentral:rRNA from 1 species
UACGUAGGGUGCAAGCGUUAAUCGGAAUUACUGGGCGUAAAGCGUGCGCAGGCGGUUGUGCAAGACAGAUGUGAAAUCCCCGGGCUCAACCUGGGAACUGCAUUUGUGACUGCACGGCUGGAGUGCGGCAGAGGGGGGUGGAAUUCCACGUGUAGCAGUGAAAUGCGUAGAAAUGUGGAGGAACACCGAUGGCGAAGGCAGCCCCCUGGGCUAACACUGACGCUCAGGCACGAAAGCGUGGGGAGCAAACAGG